rnacentral:lncRNA from 1 species
UCAGAAUUUAUUGUUCCAAUACAGAGCAAUGCAAUGGGUUUGCAGUUGGAAUAUGGCUUAUUGAAGACUGAAUGUAAGAACAGGAGACUUCUAGUCUCCAUCUGUGCCCUGGAUAUCCCACAGCAUUCCUUACCCAAAUCCCACAAGGAGAGAGCUGGUAUUCUAGGAGUGCUGUCCCUCCUAAGCUCACAGGUCUCCCCUUUGGAAACUUGCAUCCCAUCGCCUCCUCCCACUGCUUCUAUGAGGGUGCUUCCCCACCCACAAACUCCAGUCUUCUCACCCUGGAAUUCCUAUACACUGGGUCAUCUAACAGCCUCAAGCCCAAGGCCUGCUCCUCCCACUGACAUCUAACAAGGCCAUCCUCUGCCACAUAUGCGGCUGGAGCAUGGGUUACUCCAUGUGUACUCUGGUUGGUGGUCUAGUACCCAGGAGCUUCAGAGGGUCUGGCUUGUUGACACUGUUGCUCCCCUCAUGGGGCUUGUAUAAUGCCUCAGCUUCUUCAGUCCCUUCUCCAACUCCUCCAUUAGGGACUCCCACAUUCCCCCCACCCCCC